GCCGGGCAUGGUGGCAGGCGCUUGUAGUCCCAGCUACUUGGGAGGCUGAGGCAGGAGAAUGGCGUGAACCCAGGAGGUGGAGCUUGCAGUGAGCCAAGAUCAUGCCACUGCACUCCAGCCUGGGUGACAAGAACGAGACUCCGUUUCUUUUUUUUUUUUUUUGAGACGGAGUCUCGCUGUGUCACCAAGGCUGGAGUGCAGUGGCAUGAUCUUGGCUCACUGCAAGCUCCACCUCCUGGGUUCACGCCAUUCUCCUGCCUCA
rnacentral:SRP_RNA from 1 species